UCAGAUCUCGACAUGACGACUAGAGGUACUUAAGAAAAGAUGCUUCUGUUUGCUUGCUGUGCCCAGUUGGAACACAAGCAGAGAGUGGCACGCGUCUAGUGCAUGGCCACAAUCACAAUGCCUGGAGUCCUUACUCCUUGUCCAAUUACUUUCUUAACCUCCUGAAAAUAAAAUCGGGAAGGAAGCAAGUCACUUCUAAAAACACACGAGAGGAUUUAUGGUCAAUAUGCGGGAGAUAAAAAUCAAAGGAGCCACUGCUGCACCUCUGCUUCUCCAUCAGUUUAAAAAGAGUGCAUACAAACAACAGAUCCGCCUGUGCAGAGGGGUUAGCCCGUCAAAAGGAGAUCAAAAGCACUUCUCUUUUUCAGAUUCGCUUGACUGCUUGGUUACUCCAAAGAGGAGAUGCCCCAUUCUCUCUGGAUCUGAGCCUCUUGCCUCCCUGUGUCUCAACCCUAUCAGGAAAUAUCCAUGCUUUGUCCUAAGCUGGAGACCAAAGUUAAGGGGGACAGCCUGAGACACUUGCCUUCAGUAACCUCUCCAGCUGCAAAGUGAAUGACGUCUAGUGCGAUGCUUUUUCUAAAGCCUAAUCAGUUCCCACAGUCACAGAAUUAGAGGGAAAGAAAGGAAGAAAAAAGAAGAUAGAUGGGUUUGGCAGAAGGUAAGUUGCUAUUACUAUAUUCUGUAAACAUGAAAUUGUCCCAUUAAAAUGAUUCUGAAUUAGUGUGACACAGUCCGGAGAAAAAAGGUUUGUAUAGAACCUCUUCAGGGGCAAGAAAAACCUCAAUGAGUAGCUAGGACUGAUUAGGAUGCCAUGGCAGGGGGCCACCUGGGUGGCUCAGGUCCUGAUCCCGGGGUCUUGGGAUUGAGUCUCCCAUCGGGCUCCCCACAAGGAACCUGCUUCUCCCUCUGCCUAUGUCUCUGCCUCCCUCUGUC
rnacentral:lncRNA from 1 species